AGGAGGAAGCUGGGGCCGCCGUCGGGCCUUCUCCCUCCAGGGGCCCAAGAGCCACUGGUACUCAGUGUCUGGGUGGGGGCAGGGGGGAUUUUUGUUCUCCCAGCACCUGCGGCUGUUGAGACCAGAGAAGCUGGUGGUCGACCACAGCCUGGGGUAUUAGUUCACCCCUAGCUUCUCCCCAGCGAGACCCCAGGGCCCUUGGGCACAGGGGAUUAAGCCUCUAUCUGCUUACGUGCAAGCGGAAGAAAUAGGCCCAGAGAGCAACAGUGGCGGGUCUGCAGUCACACAGCCAACUUGCGCUUGUGGCAGUGGCAAGGUUGGUGAGUAUCUGAGUCUUCAGGCCACGGCAUUUUCCGCUCGAGUGGAGCCUGGUAAGUGGCCUCUAUUUCUGGUACAUUCUCUGGGAGCCCCCAGUAUUUUCCAGACAGAGGGCACUGAAGACAGGCUUUGUGCUGAGGAUGGGUCACCUGAGGUCCAGCUGCUCCCCCGUACUCCUCCAGGGAAGGGCUGGGACCCCUUCUCCUGCGGCUGCCCCUAAAAGGACAGAUUGUUGCUUUUGUGGGAUGAGGAGAGACAAUGUGGCAUGGUGGUUAAGCACGUGGACUUGGAGCCAGACGGCCUGGGGCUGAAUCCUGGCUCCGCCUCUCACCAACUGUGACCUUGGGCAAGGAAGCUGGUUCAGUGGGGCUGUCGACCACAGGUACCAACCCUGCCCUCCCCUACAGAGUAUGUGACGUAGGCACAGCCAAUGACUGCAUCCCAGUGCUUCGACCAGUCACAGGGUCAAGGGUGCAGUGGCUCACACCUGUAAUCCCAGCACUUUGGAGUCCCAAGCAGGCAGAUCGCCUGAAGUCGGGAGUUUGAGACCAGCCUGGGUGAAACCCCAUCUCUAAUAAAAGUACAAAAAAUUA
rnacentral:lncRNA from 10 species